UACGUAGGGUGCAAGCGUUGUCCGGAAUUAUUGGGCGUAAAGAGCUCGUAGGCGGUUUGUCGCGUCUGCUGUGAAAACUCGGGGCUUAACUCCGGGCCUGCAGUGGGUACGGGCAGACUAGAGUGCGGUAGGGGAGACUGGAAUUCCUGGUGUAGCGGUGAAAUGCGCAGAUAUCAGGAGGAACACCGGUGGCGAAGGCGGUUCUCUGGGCAUUACCUGACGCUGAGGAGCGAAAAGUGUGGGGGAGCGAACAGG
rnacentral:rRNA from 1 species